UACGUAGGGUGCGAGCGUUAAUCGGAAUUACUGGGCGUAAAGCGUGCGCAGGCGGUUCGUUGUGUCGGCGGUGAAAGCCCCGGGCUCAACCUGGGAAUGGCCGUUGAAACUGGCGAACUGGAGUGUGGCAGAGGGGGGUGGAAUUCCGCGUGUAACAGUGAAAUGCGUAGAGAUGCGGAGGAACACCGAUGGCGAAGGCAGCCCCCUGGGCUGACACUGACGCUCAGGCACGAAAGCGUGGGGAGCAAACAGG
rnacentral:rRNA from 1 species